GUGUUUGCCACAUAAUCGGAACAGAUUGUUGCACAUACAUACCAGAUAUUUCUGAUAAUAUGACGCAUAUAGUUUCCCAUCUAAAUGACCUAUUGUUCGAGGAGAAGAACAAAGACUCUCAAAUUCCUGAAGGAUGGAAUUGGGGGUCAUGGGUAACUCUAACGGGUUGGGAAAAUAUGUUGUUGAAAUUUUUGACACCUAUUCUGAUUUCAUUUUAUGUUUAGAGGUUGUUGAGCCUUUUAGUCUCAAAGGGGGGAUUGUAAUGGCUGUUUUUAUUCUUGUGUAAUGAUUAAUGGAUGAAACAGACAUGUAUGUUGAAAGAGGAAUGAACAGAUGUGAUUCUCGUGGGUUUAACUAACUUUAUGAGUGUUGUUUAAAGGUAGUAGAUGUUUAUGGCCUUCCUCCUUUUGUUUGACACUUAGCAAAUGAUCACUGCAGGGGUCACUCAAGGGGGUUUGAUCAGAGGGGUGCAGGGAUUCCUUACGUGUAUACAGGAAGGGGGUCUUUUGUGUUGUAAACGAAGAUAAGGGACCUCUGAGACAGAUGGUACAUGAAAGGGGUCACUCCAGGGGGCUGAGACAGAGAUGGAGACACGAUGUCUAUACACUUUGAUCAUAGAUCAAAGAAGUUUAUUGAUAACCUUUUGCUUCUCGAGGGGAGGGGCUUGUAGUGUAUAAAGAUGUUCAUUCUCCUCUAAGUCUUUGCUCAUUGUAUGAUGUCCUUCCGGUGAUUUGUACUCUGAGUCCACCUGCAGGUGUAAAUUAAACUUACCAAAGAGA